AUUAAAUAAAAUCUUUGAAUUAAGAAUUCCCGAAUUUUGGGGAGCUAAUUAUAAAAUUAUUUUAAUGUGGAAAAAUUAUUUAUAAUUUAUAGUUUGUAAUUAUAUGUUAGUCAUUCUUUAAUAUAUCUGGUUUUCUAAGAAAUUAAUUGAAUUAAUUUAGUCAAAUAAGUAUAUUUAAUUUAAAAUAAAUUUUUGUCUAUUUUAAUCUUAAAGGGAUAAGCUUUUAAGAUUAUUUUUAUAAUUAAUCUAGAAUUGAAUUAAAUAGGAUUAGAAGUUUCCAUUUUUUAUAGAGUUUAAUAACCAGUUUUAUUAAAUAAUUAGAUUUAUUAAGUGUUUAAAUUUUUUAUUGGAAUAAUUUGUUUAAUAGAAUAUUAAAUGUAAUAAUGAUAGAAUUAGUAAAAUUAAAUGUAUAUAGUAUUUUUAUUAAUAAGUUUUUGAAAAGGAAUUCGGCAAAUUAAUUUUCCGCCUGUUUAUUAAAAACAUGUCUUUUUGUUUAAUAUUUAAAGUCUAGCCUGCCCAAUGAUUAUUUGAAUGGCCGCGGUAUUUUGACCGUGCAAAGGUAGCAUAAUCAUUAGUUUUUUAAUUGAAAGCUGGUAUGAACGGUUUGACGAGAAAAUUACUGUCUCUUUAAAAUUAAUUGAAUUUUAUUUUUUAGUUAAAAAGCUAAAAUUUUUUUAAGGGACGAGAAGACCCUAUAGAAUUUUAUAAUUAUUAAUCUUAUGAUUUAUUAGUAUUUAUAUAAUAUUAGAUUAAUAAUUAUUUUAUUGGGGCGAUAGGAAAAUUUAAUAAACUUUUAAUUAUAAAUAACAUUAAUUUAUGUAUGUAUGAUCCAUUUUUUUGAUUAUAAGAGAAAAUUACCUUAGGGAUAACAGCGUUAUUAAUUUGGAGAGUUCAUAUCGAUAAAUUAGUUUGCGACCUCGAUGUUGGAUUAAAAUUAUGUUUAGGUGGAGAUGCUUAAAUGGUAAGUCUG
rnacentral:rRNA from 1 species